GUCAUUUCUCUGCAAUUUACACCGUUGAAUAAAACAUUGAAAAUCGCCUGUAACUUGUGCUAACUUUAUUUUCAUGAGAUGCUCAGUUUUCUAAAUGUAUAUUGCUAAAUUGCCAAUUAAAGAAUCACUAUAGUGUCAGUAAAACCAACUCGUUUUCCUGACACUAUAUAACCCUUCGGUCCCCCCCACCCUCAGGGCUCCCCUCCUGUUAAAACCC